UGUUCAGUUUCUGCCAGCUGGCUUUCUGUUUGCUCUCUGCGAUUGCUACAAGCACUCGAUUCUUAUUAAGGUUUGUAGAGUACCUAAAUAAAUACUGCAUACUCCACCCUCUUUAAACACCUCAGAGAAUGUGGUCUAAGCAGUUUGCAAAGCCUGUCCAGAAGUAAAGAGAGUUUCAAAUUACAAACCCAUGCAUGUGUGUGCAAGAACAUAUACAUGGGAAAAGGUGCUUGGCAUUCCUCUAUAACCUCCUCCUCCCCGAGACCUCAAGGUCCUUCAUUAGCAGCACUAUGACCCUCCAAGCACUCUGCUGACACAAAGAAAUAUAAAGGGUUUUUAUGAAUCCUAUUAGAACCUCCAGAUUCAGACUGAGGUAGGAUUUGAGAUCUCUGUGUUACUAGAGAGAAAAAAUAGUAUUGUUAUGGGAGACUUUGGCUUUCUUGAUGUCAAGUGGAGAUCAAAGGUUGUUAAUAAUGGUAAAGCCUAUGUAUCCCUGGGGGCUUGCAGCCCAUAAAUUUCUUCAUAAAGUCAGCUCUGAACUGCCCAGAAGGGAUGUGAUUUCAGACUUUGUGUCUGAAGUAGAGGACAUGUAAUAGCUAGCCAUGGAAAAUUAGCUUGGAUCAAGUGAUCAUGAGUGGAUUCAUGAGUGGAAUGGAAAGACAAAAUUAGAUUUGAAGCUUCUGGGAAGACUCUUCAUUUUGCAAAAGCAGCUCCUAAGAGAUAGAGGGAAGAUGUUAUGGAAGUUAAUGAAGCCAGCUGACCUGGCAGGCUCCAGAAGGGGAACAAGACAGGAGAAUGGAAUGAUUUUAAGUCAAAGAUGCUAAACACCUGGAGCUUGCAUCCCUCAUAAAGGUUUAAAUCUUGUAGAAAAUAAUUGAGGUCUACCUGGUUGAAUAGUGGUUUUAAGGAGGAAGUUGGGGAUAAACAGGAAUAAGCUGGAAUAAUAAACAUGAAUAAGAGAAGAAAGAGCUCUCUUACAUGAUGAGGAAGCGCAAGGCUAAAGGGCACAGCACAAACCAGGUGAGGCAUGGGGUUCAAGGUAAAGCCGACAUCAGCAGUGAGAUCCAGGUCUGACUUAUCCACUCCUGGAGGGGGGCGAAAAACAAAUUUGCGGAGCAAGCCCCCAAAAAAGAGGAACAGCUCCAUUUUGGCCAGUCCUUCACCAAGGCAAGCCCUUCGUCCUGAAAACAACCAGGAGAGAAGUUAAUGAUCAGUACUGUAACUGUUAAUGUUGAUCUCUGAGACCUAAACUGGAGAUACAGUCUGUAAGAGCAGACUGCUGAGGCAGCUCUCCUGGUUCAAUGACACGGUUCAUUUCUUCUUGAAUCUUUCCUUAGAAGGAGGAAAGGAUUAAGAAGCUGAUAACAAUCUUACCUUGCACCUGAAAUGACUUACAGUUUGGCAAAGACGAAGAAAAGGGAAAACUAUGAAUAUUUGGGAAGAGCAGAAGUGGGAAGGUUUGGGAUGAUCUCCUCCUUGUGUGUGCUGAGUGGUAACUUAUGUUACCACAUGGGACAUCAUGACAAGCUUUUAACCAGCAGUUUCAGUGGAGCCAUGGAAUAAGUCCAGCACAGCUCACUAUACAGAACCAGAGAUGUGUUCUGCACGGGCCAGCUGGUUGAUAAUGUUCCUGUUUUCAAGAAGCAAGUUGUGGGAGGCCAGGAGAACAAACAUGGACAACUGGAUAUCCCCCCAAAAUCUAAAAGUUACAACAUAAAAUAGAGCUCUUACCAGCACCAUAGGGGAGCCCAACAGCUUAGUAUUUUGAUUUAUCAUCCCCAGCAAAGUUAGAAAUACAGGAUCAUCAUAUUCAAACCUCUCUCCAAACAAUAUCGAGCAGAUGACAUUGGAUACAGCAUUGUUGAGUAUCAUUUUCGUAUCAAAUGGUUUCCCUGUGUUUCAAGCAAUUAAAAGAAAGGACAAUGGGAUUAUGCUUUUUUCAGUCUGAUUUCCCAUGGAAAUACAGUCCUGAGCUCCCAAAGAAAACUCAUUCCCCACCCAGAAUGCAUGGCAGGGAACUCAGUUUCAGUGUUUUAAGGCCUCGGUUCAAUAACCUACUGCAGAAUAUGCUGAACUUUAACCACGAGAUACCAUUUACUCAGAGUUAAACUUUCAUUAAUUUUUAUUGUUCUGCUAGACCUGUUUUCUGUCUCUGGAUGAAAGACUUGACACUCACCAUGAUAGGAUUCAAAAUAUUUGAUAAGGGAAUUUACUUCCUCCAGGAUUCGGAUCUCAAGGGUUCUCUUUCCCAUUCCAAAAUCUCGCAGUGUGGACAAGAUCACAAAGAGUGAUCUGUAUGAUGGUGAUACUCUCUGCUGUAAGAAGCAUGAUUUAAAAGGGCGUCCUUGAUGGUUUCAUAUCCAGCCAGUACCACGACUUUCCUGGGUCCAAAAUGCACAGUGAAGACGUUGCCAUAUGUCUUGGAUAGCUGACAAGGGGAAUAAAUACGUUCAUUCAAAACCAGAUCGGGACUCAAACGCUACUACAAGCCAUCCUUGGUGGUUUUCAGACCAAAAGGAGCCUCUUAGCCCCGCCUGAAGUCUCCAGGUGCUGCUGUAAUUCAAGUAAUGAGCAACAGCUAUCGAUUGCCAGCAUCUCAGCUUGCACCCUGUUUGCACAACAAGGUGUCUGCUAUCACUGCUUCUAUCAGAGGAGUCAAUAAAAUGCCAUUGCAUUCCUGUGGUGUUCUGUAGUAACAGGCCAGUGCAGUGAUACCACACUGGGAGGCUGGUUGGAGAAUGCUGUGGCAGGCAGGCCUGUUUAUUGUAAUGCUGUUGACCUGAGGCAAGUGGGCGUGCACACACCUUUGAGGCUGAAGCCACAAACACUGCAAAAACAAAGCUAGACAAUAACUCUUUCUUUCAGGACAGCACUUGUCUCUAAUUAUGGCAAGGUGCGUAGUGAUGCAGUCAUUGCAGAAUUAUUUGCUGGCCACCAGGAACUGGAAUCCAACUAGGAAGCAUGUUCUUGUAGAUAAUGCCACAGGAACACUAGGCUUUUAUAGCAAAUUAAAUAUGGAUCAUCUGUUACACAGAAAGGUAGCUUUGACAAGCUAAUCAUUCAUUUGGUAUUUUAGACUUCGUUUAAACACACUUCAAGCCACCAGCUCCAAAUGUCUUCUUGUUUCUGAUGUGCCUGGCUUACCAUUUGCUAUGCAUUAGAUACAUUCCACAAAUUGAAUUUCAGAUUAGAAGCAGCUCCUGUUAUUACACUAGACAAAUUGAAUUUGUUUUCAUCAAAUGCUGGUUUGACGGCUUGGGAGAUAACAUUAGCACUGGUUCUUUCAUCUCUGGCAGCUCACAGAGUGUGCAGCAGAGCCAGGGGCAGGGAAUCACAGCUGCCUCCGAGCCUUCCUUUGGUCAUUUCUUUGCAUUAGUGCUUCUUGGCAUCCACUCUGUUUUUACUCAGAAACACAAGUAUUGGAUGUGGAAGGCCUGAAAGCCUAAAUAAAGCUGCUUGGUGGAUUACAGGAAAUGAGUCUGGUGCCAUCACAUGACAUUUGUAUUAUAAAAUCUCACAGUACUGCCAAAAAUAGUUGCUCUUUCAUACUGACAUCCUCAAACAUGCCUAGGAUCAGCUGGGAGCUCAGUACCAGAAGCCCAUCAAAACUGGUCUCUGCACAAUCCUCUGCACUGUAAAUCAGGGUGGAUGAGCACUGCAUGCCUGCUAGAGGAAUUCCAUUAUUUUGCAGCCCAGGAUGCCCUUUUUUCUACAAUUAACUGGAGGAUUUCAGUGUCUGCACUGCCCUCUCACUGCAGAUGUUCAAGUGGCUGAAGGAGUUCACUGCAGACUGGCUUUCCUCCAUCACAGUGUCCAGUCCACCACGUUCAAGUUUCCGAUCAGAGGAAGAGGCCGUGGCCCAGGAGGCAAACUGCAAGCUGACUUCUUCGAGCUGGUGAGAAAGUAAAGGAGAGCAAACAGCCCUGCUGCCAAACAGAGCAGCGAGCUGGAGCCCAAGUACUGCAGGAAACUCUGCAUGGCCAUGUCCAAAUCCAAGUGUGGGCAUGAGCGUCUUGGGGUCCCUUUAUAGCCCUUCUGUCAUUUCCUGAACACACCUUCUGGGGAAGCAGCUUUGUGCAGAGAAAAGGACUCUGUGGUCUUGUUAACAUCCAUUUAGACCAGAUGUACUUCAUUAUGCUGACGAAUAAACCACCCUGUUUUAUUCUGAGCCAUGGAUUAUUGUAAUCAGGAGCUCCUGUUUCAUCUAUAACACUGGGGCAAGGUGUUUGUUUUCCAGUGAAAAUCUGUGUUAUGGGCAUGUUGUUCUCUGCAUUAUUUCAGGGGCAGAACUCAGGGAUAGGACCCAAGCUGGAUUGCUGCCAUGGUGCCAGGUCACAGGACUCAGAUGGACCACUGGUGAUGCAAUGGAGGAAGUAGGACACAGGAGGGAAAGCCCAUAAUAACGCAUAGACCAGGGUGCAGCUGGCAAGCAAGCCCUCAGGAAAGACAAGACUGACCAUGGAGGAGUUGGAAUGGUGGUUGCAUGAAGUUGUGCUAAUUCAAAAUUGCUGUUGGUAGUAGAUCUAUUUACAGGUGACAGUUCUGAUUCUCUUUGCUUUCCUGCCACCCCAGUGAAACCACCUCCUUGAGCAACACAGUGUUUUCGUUGCUAGAGUUGUUAUUGAUCUUUGUCCCAAAAAUUGUCUACAAGCAAUUCCAAACCACUCCUGAAACCACUUCAGUCAUUAUUUUGCAGUUUACUGUCCAGAGGACUGUGUGUCCACGUCUGGCUCUGUGUUUGGUGAUGACUCCUUCUGUUUGUGGGCAGAUGCAUGCAAUCCUCUAGGAGAAACCGUCCCCUCCAGGCAGUCCUUCUUGCCUAGACUGGGAAAGAGAUCCUGAACCUUUGUAACCUGGGAGGAGGCAGGAUCAGAGCGCAGCUGUCCAGGCAGAGGAUGGAGGCUGCCUGGGCAGCUGUUGCAGAGGGGGUGCCAGGCAGGAGGAGCACACAGCAGCAGUUUUUUGGCCCUCCAGGUGCAGUGAGUCAUGCACCAUGCCAGGGCAGGGGCCUGCAAGAGCCCGCGUGCCCAGGAGACAGCUCCCCAAGAGCCACCUACACUCUGCAUCCUGGGGGGAUGACAGCACAGCUGACGUGAUCAUGAACAGGAGGCCACUGCUGAAAAGGUAACUCUGGGGGAAAGAGCCAACUUGACGGUCUAUCACCUAUUCUCAAGUGGGGAUAUUUUGUUCCCCAGUUGCAGAUUCUAUCAGAUUACUGGGCUGUGCUGCUGUUCACCCCUUUAGAAAUCUUUAGCUUUAAUAAUACUUUUGCUAGAAUUCUCCAAGGCUCCCGGGUGCAGGCUCCACUGAUGGAAAAAUGAUGAUUAUUUAUUAAUAAUAAUAAAAGUACAUUAGCCGAAGGCAAGGGGAAUCAAUAACUCUAACUAGAUUGACAUGAAAAAGGUGUCUGCUCAUGUGCCUGCACAUCUGCCUGUUCUCCAAAGCUUGUUAUCAGGAGUGGAGUUUUUCACAAGGGAGAACUUUCCUGUGCAGAAGAGGACUAAGCAGGGUGGGCAAAGAAAAGAGGGCAGCGGAUGGUCACGUCAGUCUGAAGAUUUGCUGCACAAUUAUGAGGUCUUUUUCUGCACCCACUUCUCCCAGACAUUUCCAAGAAUAUCAGAUUCUUCUCUGAGUAAAUGGUGUGGCCAUGGGGACUCCUGAUGCUUUGUAACACACAGUAAGAGGGAGGAAAAAACCCUACGUGGGGCCAGUUGGGUACCAGUGGAGGAAAUCUAUCGUUUCUGUUUACAUACAGCUCUGUUGGGAUGGAGCUGGCUGCUGCCAUAGCAAGCAAGAGAACCUUCCCAAGGGCUUCCAAUCUGUUUCAAACUUCAGGUUGUACCUGGUGACAAUAGAGGGCGAAACCCUUUCUCAAAUGGUGAGCCUGUGGACUUGCAACCUGAUGGACUGGUGUAUGCACUGUGGGAAUUAAUGGAGGAGCUAUCCAUCGGGUGGGAAUGAUUGCAGUCUUAAAAUACAGCCAAUCUGAUGUCCUCACCUUCAAUUCUUCCUCACAUGCUUUGGCUUCCAGUAUGCAACUCUGAACACAGCCUACAACUGAGUUGCUGGCUUGCUGGUGAGGCAUCCCACACUGGACUGGGGAGAAAACGUUGCUCCCUGCUCACGUGUCUUUGUCUGUCUACCAGCCCAAGCCAGAACUGAUACUAUCUUAAGGUAAGCAGACUUUGUGGGCACAGCUCAGUUCCUCCUAGAAAAUGAGCCUGCACAUUAAACAGCCACAGUAAUUUCUGUGUGCUCAUCUGGAGAAGGUCAUAUCAUCUUCUAAUGGGACACAGGUUAACAAUGCUACAGUAACCGUAGGAUAAUGCAGGGAAAGGGUUGUUAUAAGGCCAUAAUUCAGUCAAUGACUGCUGAUAACAUAAUAAACCAUGAGAGUGAACACCAAGUGCUUGUGUGCCUUGCAAGGCUCUGUCACUGAUUUACAGCCUCUGGAGAUGCCUAUCAGCCCGUGCAUUGUUAUCAGGGAUAUAUAAAGCCUGAGCACACCCUAUUAAACAUUAACAUUUUUAAAGACCCAGAUGUGUUAAAACUCAGGCUGCUCCUUGCUAAUGGAUUUUGCUUGCCCUGACAAAUGCCACUGCAAAAAGAAAUCAAAAGCUUCCCGACUUUGACCUCUUUCAAUUUUUCAUCAUUAUUGCAUUGCUUUAUUGGAUUACACCCACUUCUUCCCACCCUGACAAUCUGUAUUUCUGCAGGAUCACUAUAGGGUGGUGAUCAGUAUCUCAGGUGUUCACUGUGCUCAUUUUCAUACAAAUAACUUGUUUCUUUUCACUUAUCUGUCAAAUCAGUGUGGGUUGCAAAUCCACUUUGAGAAGAAAGACUCCUGAAAAAAUAUUUUAAAAAAUCAUUAUUUCACUGCAAAAAAAUUUUUUUAAAGACUCAUGGGGGGUUUUUUUACAUAUUCUGGGCUGAAAGAAUUUAUGUGAUGGGUCUGGUCACUGAGAGAAGAAAAUGAAAAAUAUCCGUGUAUGGGAUUAGUGCAUUGUUCCUGUGCAGAGCCUAAGGUGACAGUAU